ACGGAGGAUGCGAGCGUUAUCCGGAUUUAUUGGGUUUAAAGGGUGCGUAGGCGGACCAUCAAGUCAGCGGUCAAAAGUCGGGGCUCAACCCCGUGAAGCCGUUGAAACUGGCGGUCUGGAGUGAGCGAGAAGCAGGCGGAAUGCGUGGUGUAGCGGUGAAAUGCAUAGAUAUCACGCAGAACCCCGAUUGCGAAGGCAGCCUGCCGGCGCUCAACUGACGCUGAGGCACGAAAGUGCGGGGAUCGAACAG
rnacentral:rRNA from 1 species